rnacentral:rRNA from 1 species
UAGGGAAUCUUCCGCAAUGGACGCAAGUCUGACGGAGCAACGCCGCGUGAGUGAAGAAGGAUUUCGGUUCGUAAAACUCUGUUGUUAGAGAAGAACAGCGCAUAGAGUAACUGUUAUGCGUGUGACGGUAUCUAACCAGAAAGCCACGGCUAACUACGUGCCAGCAGCCGCGGUAAUACGUAGGUGGCAAGCGUUGUCCGGAUUUAUUGGGCGUAAAGCGAGCGCAGGCAGUCAAUUAAGUCUGAUGUGAAAGCCCCCGGCUCAACCGGGGAGGGUCAUUGGAAACUGGUUGACUUGAGUGCAGAAGAGGAGAGUGGAAUUCCAUGUGUAGCGGUGAAAUGCGUAGAUAUAUGGAGGAACACCAGUGGCGAAGGCGACUCUCUGGUCUGUAACUGACGCUGAGGCUCGAAAGCGUGGGGAGCGAACAGG